rnacentral:rRNA from 1 species
UACGUAGGGGGCAAGCGUUGUCCGGAUUUAUUGGGCGUAAAGAGCGUGUAGGCGGCCAAGCAGGUCAGCUGUGAAAACUCGAGGCUCAACCUCGAGACGUCGGUUGAAACCGCUUGGCUAGAGUCCGGAAGAGGAGAGUGGAAUUCCCGGUGUAGCGGUGAAAUGCGUAGAGAUCGGGAGGAACACCUGCGGCGAAAGCGGCUCACUGGACCAUAACUGACGCUGAGGCGCGAAAGCUAGGGGAGCAAACAGG